AACGUAGGACGCAAGCGUUAUCCGGAUUUACUGGGCGUAAAGGGCGCGUAGGCGGCUUAACAAGUCACUUGUGAAAUCUCCGGGCUUAACUCGGAACGGCCAAGUGAAACUGUUAUGCUAGAGUGCAGAAGGGGCAAUCGGAAUUCUUGGUGUAGCGGUGAAAUGCGUAGAUAUCAAGAGGAACACCUGAGGUGAAGACGGGUUGCUGGGCUGACACUGACGCUGAUGCGCGAAAGCCAGGGGAGCAAACGGG
rnacentral:rRNA from 1 species